rnacentral:rRNA from 1 species
CCGCAUAAGCCCACGGUACCGCAUGGCACUGAGGGAAAAGGAUUUAUUCGCUUUAGGAUGGACUCGCGUCCAAUUAGCUAGUUGGUGAGGUAACGGCCCACCAAGGCGACGAUUGGUAGCCGGACUGAGAGGUUGAACGGCCACAUUGGGACUGAGACACGGCCCAGACUCCUACGGGAGGCAGCAGUGGGGGAUAUUGCACAAUGGGGGAAACCCUGAUGCAGCGACGCCGCGUGGAGGAAGAAGGUUUUCGGAUUGUAAACUCCUGUCGUUAGGGACGAUAAUGACGGUACCUAACAAGAAAGCACCGGCUAACUACGUGCCAGCAGCCGCGGUAAAACGUAGGGUGCAAGCGUUGUCCGGAAUUACUGGGUGUAAAGGGAGCGCAGGCGGGAAGACAAGUUGGAAGUGAAAACCAUGGGCUCAACCCAUGAAUUGCUUUCAAAACUGUUUUUCUUGAGUAGUGCAGAGGUAGAUGGAAUUCCCGGUGUAGCGGUGGAAUGCGUAGAUAUCGGGAGGAACACCAGUGGCGAAGGCGGUCUACUGGGCACCAACUGACGCUGAGGCUCGAAAGCAUGGGUAGCAAACAGGAUUAGAUACCCUGGUAGUCCAUGCCGU